GAUGAACGCUGGCGGCGUGCCUAAUACAUGCAAGUCGAGCGAACGGACGAGAAGCUUGCUUCUCUGAUGUUAGCGGCGGACGGGUGAGUAACACGUGGAUAACCUACCUAUAAGACUGGGAUAACUUCGGGAAACCGGAGCUAAUACCGGAUAAUAUUUUGAACCGCAUGGUUCAAAAGUGAAAGACGGUCUUGCUGUCACUUAUAGAUGGAUCCGCGCUGCAUUAGCUAGUUGGUAAGGUAAAGGCUUACCAAGGCAACGAUGCAUAGCCGACCUGAGAGGGGGAUCGGCCACACUGGGACUGAGACACGGUCCAGACUCCUACGGGAGGCAGCAGUAGGGAAUCUUCCGCAAUGGGCGAAAGCCUGACGGAGCAACGCCGCGUGAGUGAUGAAGGUCUUCGGAUCGUAAAACUCUGUUAUUAGGGAAGAACAUAUGUGUAAGUAACUGUGCACAUCUUGACGGUACCUAAUCAGAAAGCCACGGCUAACUACGUG
rnacentral:rRNA from 1 species